UGGGGGAUUUUGCACAAUGGGCGCAAGCCUGAUGCAGCGACGCCGCGUGAGGGAUGAAGGCCUUCGGGUUGUAAACCUCUUUCGCUGGGUUGAAAGGCCAUGCUUUGGGUGUGGUUGAUUUGAACUGGUAAAGAAGUACCGGCUAACUACGUGCCAGCAGCCGCGGUAAUACGUAGGGUACUAGCGUUGUCCGGAUUUAUUGGGCGUAAAGAGCUUGUAGGCGGUUUGUCGCGUCGAUAGUGUAAACACGCAGCUUAACUGUGUGCCUGCUGUCGAUACGGGCUGACUAGAGGAGGGUAGGGGAGAAUGGAAUUCCCGGUGGAGCGGUGGAAUGCGCAGAUAUCGGGAGGAACACCAGUGGCGAAGGCGGUUCUCUGGACCUUUCCUGACGCUGAGAAGCGAAAGCGUGGGUAGCAAACAGG
rnacentral:rRNA from 1 species